rnacentral:rRNA from 1 species
CCUACGGGAGGCAGCAGUAGGGAAUCUUCCACAAUGGGCGAAAGCCUGAUGGAGCCACGCCGCGUGUGUGAUGAAGGGUUUCGGCUCGUAAAACACUGUUGUAAGAGAAGAAUGACAUUGAGAGUAACUGUUCAAUGUGUGACGGUAUCUUACCAGAAAGGAACGGCUAAAUACGUGCCAGCAGCCGCGGUAAU